CUCUCUUGGGGGCUAGCUUCCUCUUGGGGGCUAGCGCCCUCUAGGGGGGCUAUCUUCCUCUCGGGGGGGUAUCUGAUGAUCAGCUGGCGGUGGCUCACAUUUUUGUACUCUGAACUUCAACGCAUUUCCUGAACCUGUACUGUUCUGAGGGUAAAACACAACUCAAGUUCCCGCUUCAAACAACGCCAAGUAAUUUAGAAAUGGAAAGCUAAGGAACAAGGGGGGGGGGCGGUCCGAGCCCCGUUUCAGAUGCACUUGUGAUACUUGCAGCCAUUAUUUUUUAACUGUAGUGAAACUCGACUUUAGUCUUUUGAUGUGAUUGCAGUUUUUCCGAGUGAACCAGAGACUCAAAACUGUUUCUAGAGGAGCUUUUUUGAUGCAAGAGAGAAUUUAGCGUUGGAUCAAGUGUGAUAUUUAACAAUGGUUUUGGUUUUUUGUGUUUUAUUUUUGUAAAUGAUUAACAAGACCUUUCGACAACGCAACUUAUUGUGACGCUCUCUCCAACGCCCCCCCGAGUCCCGGGGUCUGGCCCGUGCUGAGCGGAGCUUCUGCUCCUGUGCUUCUGCAUCACCGGCGCUCAGCAACACGGGCUCCUUGGCAUGUGAUGAUUAAAAUGUAACCCAUCAGUAGCUGCUCCAGGGUCAGAGGUCGCGAGCGGGGGUCCUGCUGACCACCCCGGCUCCUCCCUGGAGCGCAGCGCUUUCUCCUCCCAGCAGCAGCAGCCUCGGUGUCUCGGGCGAGGACCCCGCCCGCUCCAUCCUCCAUAUUUAGCUUCUGCUUUUUUUAAUUAAAGGUCCUCGUUGACUUUCAAAUUGUCUCCAAAAAAUCAAGCGUCCUUUGAAAUGAUUUCCAUGGCCUGGGGGGAGGGGCGUGGCCAGGGGCCUGGGGGCGGGGCAGGGGCGGGGCAUGGCUGGUGUUACUUGAAUCUAAACUACUUUGCAUUAUUACAGUACCGCUUAGUAAUUCUCUGCCAUAUCUAUUCUGAUCAUGCCACUUCUGACGCUACCAUAGAGGGGAGAAGAGAAUCAGUGACGGGGCGUUUUGAACGAGAGGCUUAUUAGGUUAGUGACGGCUGAGAUGGGGCAGUGAGCAGACUGAGAGACGGCGUACGGAGACUUCUUCCCCCCCCCGGUUCAAACCGGUGAUGUGAGACUCCGUUCCGCCGCUGUGCUCCUGCUUGCUGCCUCCUCCCUCCUCCCUCCUCCCUCGUUUCCUUUCGCUAUUCGAUAGCCGUUGUAUUUUUCUUGUAAAAAAAAAAAAAGAAAAACGGACAAAAAAACAACUAAUCUUCAGACUUAGUAAUUAUGUUGGCAUCGUUCAGACCUGUUUUCCGUAGCCAGCGUUGAGGCCGGCUGGCGUCUUUCCGCCGCGUCGACGGCUGUGCUCCGAGUUCUGCUUCGUUUAUCUCCAGUGUGAGCUCAUCAGGCCGUGCGUCUGUCUGUCCGUACGUCUCCUCCCGCUCACCUCACCUCCAUGUUAAUGUAUAGUCUCCUCCCUACAAUCUCUCAUCUCCCACUCGUCUCCUGUCUCCAAUCUCGUCUCCUCCCUCCUGUCUCCUCCCUCUUCCGUCUUGUCUCCUGUCAGUGUCUCCUCCCUCUUCCGUCUUGUCUCCUGUCAGUGUCUCCUCCCUCUUGUCUCCUGCCUCCUGUCUCCUUCUCGUCUCCUGUCUCCUCCCUCUCGUCUCCUGGCUCCUCCUUCUCAUCUCCUGGCUCCUCCCUCUCGUCUCCUGUCUCCUCCUUCUCGUCUCCUGGCUCCUCCCUCUUGUCUCCUGUCUCCUCCCUCUCGUCUCCUGGCUCCUCCCUCUUGUCGCCUGGCUCCUCCCUUGGACCGGUAGCUCUGUUCAUGUUGCUUCCCGCUCCCCCUGUUGCCAGGACGAUGGCCCGGCCUUACCCAAUCACAGAGCGUCUCACAUGAGAUGGUUUGAUCCCAUCCCGGACCUACGGGCUCCCGGGCGUCACCGAACCCCCCCCCCCCCCCUCACCAUGCUUCACUCAAAGGGCUGCUCCAUCCCCCACCCCCCGGGCCCCUGCAGCAACGGCCUCAUCACCAAUUGGAGCAUCACCUAUUUGUGUGUGUCCGUGGGGGGUGUGAACUGGUCCCAAUCUGACGGCUCAAUCAGCACACCUGCACUUUGCCUUAGCUUGCUCCCUUCUCUCUCCCCCCUCCCGACAUAUGUCUGUCUGUCUGUGUGGGGGGGUGUGUGUGUGUGUGUUGGUGUUCUGUUGUUAGCUCUCUGGUCCUCUUAAUGUAUCUCCCCGUCCGUCUGUCUCAUGCUUGGGGGGGGGGGGAAGAGAUGAAGGGCGUUUGGGGGGAGUUGAUGAUGAGGAUGUUGUGUGACGGUUAACAGUGCGCUGACACACCUCGUCGUGGCGUCUCCAGGUGUGUGCGUCUCCCGCUCUGCGCUCCAGAGUUGUGUUUGACUGCAUGAGCGUCUUUCUCUGGACUAACGCUGCUUACUCCCCCCCACCACACACACGCACACACACACACACACACACACACACACACACACACACACACACACACACACACACACACACACACACACACACACACACACACACACACACACACACACACACACACACAGCAUUUGUGUGGCCGAUUGCACUUAAAGACAGAUUUCUAAAGGCUUACCUGAUGCAAGGUCCGUUUCCUGAUGUGGUUUUAAACGUUCUUAUUAAUGCUGUCGUUGGUGGGGUGUUGUCUUAUUUUUUUUCCUUUUUUACACAAAAAGGGAGUUGUUAAAGUUGUAUUUUUUUUCUGUUUUAAUGAUUAGUUUUUAUUUAGAGUCAUUUCUCUUAUGGGUGUAUAACAAUAAUUGGCAAUGUUUCAAUCUUUCUAUAUUUUCCCCCUCUGGUCUUAUAAGGAAGUUUUAUUCUAAGAGAAUAUGAUUUGAUUGUCAAAAAUGAGUUCUAAAGGGUUAUAGUCUGUAUAUUCUAUGGUUAUUAUACAUAUAUUAAAUAAAAAUCCUCAUACUGUUA
ensembl:lncRNA